CUCAUGGCUGAGCAUAACCUUGUCAUGUCAGAUGAUGUUUAUGAAAUUACGGACCUUUACCUUCAACUUCGUGAACUGAUCCUUCAAGGACUGGAUUUGGAGGAAUAGAUUCACCAUUCUAAUCUAAUCUACAACAUUCACUAUAAGCUAAAGAUGUUGAACUGCAGCCUUACUCUCCCUACCCAAGCAACCUUGGACCACUGGAUGGAAUCGCAAAGCUUUUGGCAUCACAUGCCAGUGUGUUUUUAAUCCAAUCAUAGUCUCAAAACAAGUUUCUGAGUUCAAAGGCUCUGCAAUCCCCAUCCUUACUUCCAUUGUGCUAUCUCUAUCUCUAUCAAGAUUAAGGAUUUAACCAUUAUCCACUGUAUGAAGCCCUGCAACCUCUAAAGCACCCAGGCUCAGGCUCCAUGAGCCUACUCUGAGGAUCCAGAUGGAAAA